rnacentral:rRNA from 1 species
GACGAACGCUGGCGGCGUGCUUAACACAUGCAAGUCGAACGGAAAGGCCCUGCUUUUGUGGGGUGCUCGAGUGGCGAACGGGUGAGUAACACGUGAGUAACCUGCCCUUGACUUUGGGAUAACUUCAGGAAACUGGGGCUAAUACCGGAUAGGAGCUCCUGCUGCAUGGUGGGGGUUGGAAAGUUUCGGCGGUUGGGGAUGGACUCGCGGCUUAUCAGCUUGUUGGUGGGGUAGUGGCUUACCAAGUCUUUGACGGGUAGCCGGCCUGAGAGGGUGACCGGGCACAUUGGGACUGAGAUACGGCCCAGACUCCUACGGGAGGCAGCAGUGGGGAAUAUUGCACAAUGGGCUGAAGCCUGAUGCAGCAACGCCGCGUGCGGGAUGACGGCCUUCGGGUUGUAAACCGCUUUCGCCUGUGACGAAGCGGGAGUGACGGUAAUGGGUAAAGAAGCACCGGCUAACUACGUG